GACGAACGCUGGCGGCGUGCUUAACACAUGCAAGUCGAACGGAAAGGCCCUGCUUUUGUGGGGUGCUCGAGUGGCGAACGGGUGAGUAACACGUGAGUAACCUGCCCUUGACUUUGGGAUAACCUCAGGAAACUGGGGCUAACACCGGAUAGGAGCUCCUGCUGCAUGGUGGGGGUUGGAAAGUUUCGGCGGUUGGGGAUGGACUCGCGGCAUAUCAGCUUGUUGGUGGGGUAGUGGCUUACCAAGGCUUUGACGGGUAGCCGGCCUGAGAGGGUGACCGGCCACAUUGGGACUGAGAUACGGCCCAGACUCCUACGGGAGGCAGCAGUGGGGAAUAUUGCACAAUGGGCGGAAGCCUGAUGCAGCAACGCCGCGUGCGGGAUGACGGCCUUCGGGUUGUAAACCGCUUUCGCCUGUGACGAAGCGUGAGUGACGGUAAUGGGUAAAGAAGCACCGGCUAACUACGUG
rnacentral:rRNA from 1 species